UGGUGCGGGACGAGGUGCAGUGUUGUCUCACUUUGUUCCAAUAUUGCACUCGUCCCGGCCUCC
rnacentral:pre_miRNA from 1 species